rnacentral:lncRNA from 1 species
CUUUUGAAGACCCUAUUUUCAACCUAAUACCCUAAUCUCACUCCAGCAUUACAAAGACAAAGCUCUCUCACUGCACCACUAUUGCAAAAACGCAUGAAGCUCUCUCACUGCACCACUGCUGCAAAAACUCUGGCGUCCGUUUCUUCUUGAAGCUGUAGGGAAUUUUAUCCCGCUCACCGAUAUACCGCCGGCCAGUAAAAUCGUCAUUCCACCGUCUUGAUCGACAGCCCACCAAAUACCUCUUUCGUCUUUCGUAACAAAAAAGAAGGUGACAUAUUUUUGAUUUCUCUACCAUUUAAUUUUUUACACUUGACGUCCGGCCAACGGUCUUGUACGGCUUAGGUUGUCUGGCCAUUUUUUCUGUUCGAGAGUUUUGUUAUCAAUUUCAAAUUUGAAAAUUGUGUGGGUUGGUCGUCAAUAGUAAAGGGAAAUGUAGUUUUCCAAUCUAGAUUGUUAUCAAUUUCAAAAUAGUAUGGGUUGUUAUCAAUUUCAAAUUUCAAAAAUUCAAGAGUUUUGUUACUCUUCUGGAUUUCUAAAGUGAUGAAAGCAAGAUUGCAUUACACAAUCGUCUUUAGCUAUAGUUUGCAUCUUUUUCUCGUUUAAUUGCCAGGAAUAAUAGUGAACGGAAAUGUAGUUUUCCAAUCUGCCGACCAGAUGUUUGAUGAAAUGCCCGAAUAGAAAAUUUCUUGUAACUUCAAAUGCUGAAUUCAACUAAAAAAAUAUGAGAUAUCCACAAAAAGGCAAAUCAAGUUUGAGUGUGGUCAUGCUUCUUAAUUGGGUUAAUAUUCUUAGCCAACGUUUUGAACUUAAACUAGUGGCACUGCAAUGUUGGUUUCAAGCAUUUGUUCAAUUGGAAUCCUUCCACUGAAAUUAAGAUGGAAUUUCGUUGAUAUGGUCAGACCUUUUAGGUCUUCUUAUUGCAAUGAAAAAUGCUACUUGAUUCUGAUUAAUGCUACUUGAUUCUGAUUGUAAUGAAAAUGUCUUAAUUGGGUUUAUAUUCUUAUUACAAAUUUAAAUUUCUGUCACGUUGAUGUGAUCCUUUCACAUUGUUCAACUAAAUUAGUUCGAUGGCAAUCAAGAAUAAGGAAAUUUGUCAAUGUUGUAGACAGGUAGGACAUAUGUUGUCGGAGUGCCCAAAAAAAAGAAGAUGCCCAAACUGUGGUGCAGGCUUUAUCAAAUGAAUGGAGGUGGAAAAGAACAAUGAACAUAAAGGAUUGUUGUUUCAUUGUUGUACCCGCGAUUGCAAGUAUUUCAAAUGGUGUAAGAAAUUUAUGGAUGAAAAAUGUGAAUUGCAUGACGACGGUGAAUCAAGUGUCACUUUAAAAGGAGGUGAGCUUGUUGCGGAGUUGUCGCAUAUGUUGAAAAUGCUUGCUAAGCUGACGGAGGAAAAAGACUUGGAGAUUUCCCUCAACAUCAACAUGCGUAAGGGAAAACAAGAGUCCGAAGAUUUUAUCUAAACUUAGAUGUAAUUCUACUCUAUGCAAUACGAUAUUGUGGAUGUAAUGAAGUCGUUGAGUCUUAUGAUUUUGUUCGUGUACAUAUUUGUUCGUCUCUAGUGUCUUUGUUAGCUGCCGUGGGUGUUAUGAAUCUACUUCCCUCGUGCAAGGCAAGUAGAAUUGUGCUCAACUAUUAGGUCCAUUUAAAAAUCAUGAAUUAGGAUUGGUUGCAAUGUGGGUUAUGUUCUUAUGGUGAAAUAUUGUUGUGUACCAACUGUUUUCUCCAAAUUUUUGCCCUCGAAAACAUUAUGCAUAUAAUUUAUCGUGCUUAUUAUUAAUUACAAGUAAAAAUAGC